CCCUUAGAUGUUCUGGGCCGCACGCGCGCUACACUGAUGCAUUCAACGAGUUGCUUCCUGGUCCGAGAGGAAUGGGUAACCUUUUGAAAGUGCAUCGUGAUAGGGAUAGACUAUUGCAAUUAUUGGUCUUCAACGAGGAAUUCCUAGUAGACGUAGUUCAUCAGACUGCAUCGAUUACGUCCCUGCCCUUUGUACACACCGCCCGUCGCUCCUACCGAUUGAAUGCUCAGGUGAGCCAUUCGGACUUUCAUCAUGCUGGUUUCCAGUUUUGAUGAAGGAAAGUCUUGCGAACCUUAUCAUUUAGAGGAAGGAGAAGUCGUAACA
rnacentral:rRNA from 1 species